rnacentral:rRNA from 1 species
UACAUCAGCGGCAGACGGGAGAGGAACACGUGGGAACGCGCCCUUCGGUUCGGAAUAACUCAGGGAAACUUGAGCUAAUACCGGAUACGCCCUAACGGGGAAAGAUUUAUUGCCGAAGGAACGGCCCGCGUCCGAUUAGCUAGUUGGUGAGGUAACGGCUCACCAAGGCGACGAUCAGUAGCUGGUCUGAGAGGAUGAUCAGCCACAUUGGGACUGAGACACGGCCCAA